rnacentral:rRNA from 1 species
GCUGAUGCGUUGUUGGGUAGGGGAGCGUUCUGUAAGCCUGCGAAGGUGACCUGUGAGGGUUGCUGGAGGUAUCAGAAGUGCGAAUGCUGACAUAAGUAACGAUAAAGCGGGUGAAAAGCCCGCUCGCCGGAAGACCAAGGGUUUCUGUCCAACGUUAAUCGGGGCAGGGUGAGUCGACCCCUAAGGCGAGGCCGAAAGGCGUAGUCGAUGGGAAACGGGUUAAUAUUCCCGUACUUGGUGUUACUGCGAAGGGGGGACGGAGAAGGCUAUGUUGGCCGGGCGACGGUUGUCCCGGUUUAAGCGUGUAGGUGUGUGUUCCAGGUAAAUCCGGUUCACUUUAACACUGAGGCGUGAUGACGAGGCACUACGGUGCUGAAGCAACAAAUGCCCUGCUUCCAGGAAAAGCCUCUAAGCAUCAGGUAACAUCAAAUCGUACCCCAAACCGACACAGGUGGUCAGGUAGAGAAUACCAAGGCGCUUGAGAGAACUCGGGUGAAGGAACUAGGCAAAAUGGUGCCGUAACUUCGGGAGAAGGCACGCUGACACGUAGGUGAAGUGAUUUACUCACGGAGCUGAAGUCAGUCGAAGAUACCAGCUGGCUGCAACUGUUUAUUAAAAACACAGCACUGUGCAAACACGAAAGUGGACGUAUACGGUGUGACGCCUGCCCGGUGCCGGAAGGUUAAUUGAUGGGGUCAGCG